AAAGGGUCCGUAGGCGGUUUGGUAAGUCAGUGGUGAAAGCCCAUCGCUUAACGAUGGAACGGCCAUUGAUACUGCCAGACUUGAAUUACUAGGAAGUAACUAGAAUAUGUAGUGUAGCGGUGAAAUGCUUAGAUAUUACAUGGAAUACCAAUUGCGAAGGCAGGUUACUACUAGUGGAUUGACGCUGAUGGACUAAAGCGUGGGGAGCGAACAGGAUUAGAUACCCGAGU
rnacentral:rRNA from 1 species